rnacentral:misc_RNA from 1 species
CCUUUAGAACCAACAGGGUUGCACUGGUUGUUUGAAGGCCAAAAAACAAUCAGAAUCAAAUUAGAGUAUAAAUUAUAACAUCAAUACAAGCAACAACAAAAAUAUGAAACCAUAUUACUCAGUAGUAGGCGAUCGCAUUUUUCAUAACGAAAAAGACCCACCAAACUAAAAUAAAUUACCCACCAAUAUUAACAAAAGUAGAGACCAAAUGAAAGAAAGUAAAUAACUAUGGCCUUGAUUUUAACUCAACUUCAUUGUUUCUCAGGUCUUGUUAUUUGCAUGGGAGACCAUCUCAUAUGUACUAGACAUUCCCCUCAAUUGAAAACAGACAAACAAUAGUUCUUCAUUUAGAGUAUCAUGUUUUUCAACAUGGAGAAUUUAUUGGAGACGAUGCAAAUGGAGGAAAAGAGAGCUUCCAGAGGAAAAUCAAGAGCAUGAAAAAAAUGGAGCAGUUGGCAGAAACACCUAAUUCUCAAAUGAUGAACAAAAUUUAUGAAGCGGCAUAGGACAUACAUGAAUAAUCUAAGUGUGCUUAUUAAAAUAUAUUUCACUUCCACUUUAAAUUUUAAGAAACAAGAAAAUCCAAAAUUUGAAUCAUUUAUUAAUAUUUUAUACAUUAUUUAGGUGCAAAUUUUUAUGUAAAUGCAUUGUUUUAAGGGAAAGACCAAAACACAAAUGUACAUCGAAAAAAUAACAUCUAUUAUCACAGAAAAGUAAUAGCAGAAGAAUAUCCUUCAGCCCAUUUGACAGGGCACAUUGCAAAGGGAAAACUUACUGUAAAGUUGCAACCCAUGCUCUAGCUGCACCAGGAGUCUCUGCACAAAGGAAGUAGUCU